UAUGGCCACACCACCCUGAACGUGCCCAAUCUCGGAAGCUAAGCAGGGUCGGGCCUGGUUAGUACUUGGAUGGGAGAAACCUGGGUUUGCUAUUU
rnacentral:rRNA from 1 species